AGCAGUAGCCACGGUAAUACGUAGGUGGCAAGCGUUGUCCGGAAUUAUUGGGCGUAAAGCGCGCGCAGGUGGUUUAAUAAGUCUGAUGUGAAAGCCCACGGCUCAACCGUGGAGGGUCAUUGGAAACUGUUAAACUUGAGUGCAGGAGAGAAAAGUGGAAUUCCUAGUGUAGCGGUGAAAUGCGUAGAGAUUAGGAGGAACACCAGUGGCGAAGGCGGCUUUUUGGCCUGUAACUGACACUGAGGCGCGAAAGCGUGGGGAGCAAACAGGAUUAGAUACCCCCGUAGUCCCUGUCUCUUAUAC
rnacentral:rRNA from 1 species